UUGUAGAGAAUUAAAUUUCCAAUCGACAUAAUGUCAUUAGUUUUUUUCUAGGAUGCUUAGUUUUUGAUUUAUUUACGAAAAACUUCGGAAUACUGACUUAUGCGCCACUCUGUAUUUAACCCUAUUUAUAUCAUUUCAAGCUAUCACAAUCCACUAAUUGCAAAGUUCCGGGACUCGUGCAGAAAAUGCGUCAAUUUUCUUUCACGUUUUGAAUUUUUAUCAGAAAUUUCUCGAAUCACAUUACACCCAUUCCUGAGUGGAAAUUUGCAUUUCUUUGUGAAAACUCAUUCACAAUUUUCAGUCGAAUUUUCUCAUUCUGUUUUCAAGAUGAAAUUCUCUAUGGGGAUCGUGAUGUUUUAUUCCGACUUCGAUUAAAGUUGAAUAGGUUCUGUUGGAUAGGAGUAAUUACUUUAGAGUGAGUAUUGUGGACUAUUUAUGUCUGACUCGAGUCAAGGUGAGUAAUGUUUAAAAUUCGAUCGAUCAUUUUUUUCAGUCCGUCUUGAGUUGUCAAUUUACCGAUAGCUAAUUUACAUCUAACUCCAAGCGAUAAUGCCCGGAAUCACUAUGAUCUUAUUAUACAAAAAAAUCGUGAUUACCGAAAGUUGUGCGCUCAGAAAUUAUGCCCAAGUGCACGUGGUCAACAUUGAUUCAAGUGUUGGAAGUAUUCAAGCCCUCACAAAAUUUCAAGAUCAAUUGAAAGAUUACAGAAUAGCUGUAUGUAAUGGGUCUGAUGUUCAUGGAGGCAUAAUGUUCAAAAGGUGAUACAACUAGAAUUUUUCGAAUAUUGAAUUAGUAUACGAAUUUUGAUGUAAAUGAGAAAAUUUUCAACGUUUUUCAACUUCAGUACUACCAAACAUUUUUGGAAAUACUACAUUUUUAGUUUCAAAACGCUUUGACAAGAUAGCAAUGAAUUCAUCAAUUGCCUGAGAAUUAUUACCAGUUACAAGAAAAUCAUCGAUGUAAACGAUUAACGUAAUAAAAUGUUUUCCAAUUGUUUUUGUGUAAAUACGCGGUUCACGAGGGUUACAGAUAAACCACAUCGAUUUCAAGUGUCCACGAGAAUGUGGGGUACACCCUAAAAACAUCAGUCAUUGUUCAUAAAAUCGGAAAUAUUCAUAAGACGUAGGAUGAAAAAAGUGAAGUACGAAAUGUUCUGCUAGUGGACCAGACUGGUAAGUAUAAAUAUGUUGAUUAUUAAAAUAUGUGUGUGUUAAAUUUAUUAUAUUAAUUUAUAUUUUUGUAUAGGUGCUCUCGCUGUGAAGGAUUAUCAUCCGAUGGCGAAUUUGGACCAAGUUUUUGCGCAAUUUUCGCAUGUAACAUUCUCAUCAUGGGCAACAUCCAUGCGAGAGGUAUUGCUCAAUUGGUAUUGCAAGAUCACGCUCUUUUUCAAUUUUUCAGUCCAGAUUUCAAGUGAUUUCGAGAAGUUGCAACCGAACGCGUGUGAGAAAUUUCCAAAGCGAAUGGAACAACUUAUGAGAAUUUAUACUCGACACAUUGAUAAAAAAACAUCCCUGUUCCUAUGUGCGAGAGGUGCGGCGAUGGCUUUGAGCCGAACCAAGAUAUAGUGUGGAACGAAACAUGUCCACAUGUUUACCAUCAGCGCAGUAUAAAAGACGUUACCGAACAAAAAACUCCCGCCGGCAACUAAAUAUAUCACCGCGAAAUGCCAUCACCGAAACUGUGAAAAUUGCAAAAUGGUUCCAUGAAAAUAGGCUACAAACAUAUCGAAAAUUUGAUGAAAUAUGCAUAAUAAUUAUUUCAAAAUUAUGUAAAAUUUGUUCAAAAAAAAGCAAAUAUCACGAAAAUUUCCCAAAAAAAUUAUCCAAUAAAUACCUACAAAAAAUUUAUAAAAAAUGCUACGCAAAAACACACCUACAAGGAGGAAAGGAAAAUUAAUGCAAGAAAGCUAAACGUGCUGAGGUAGCAGAACACUGCAAAUGUGUUUUUCAGAGAGCAAUUUGGCUUGCGUAUCAUAAUUUCAAGUGAACCUUAUUAAAGGUUUUUAGCUGCGACUAUGACAACUUAUUUUCCAUUCCAAUUUUCUCAAUUUUUUUCCCUACAGUUUGUUCAUUUCUUGUAUGAUUUUCGAUUCGUAAUAUAUUUAAUUUCGUUUUUUGUUUGUUAUUAAAUGUUAUUGUGUUAAUAUUUUAUUUAAAAUGGAAAUCGUAAGCCACUGCCUAUGAAAUCCCAAUUUAGAAAUGAAAAUAGUGGAGGUUUACUGAAACCAUAAGAUAGGUACUCGCUGAACUUUCUGGAACUUUAAAAGAACCCAUUUCGAAUUUGGAAAAUUUUGAAUUCAUUCGAAUGAAGCCCCCCUCGUAAUUGCGUGUACGUCUAUUUUCACUCAAGUGGUUAAAACCAUUUCACAGACCAACACCAAGCAACCAAAGCUCUGCUGCUACCAGUACUUCGCAGGCGACGGACCUGGAAAAUGAUAUAACGACUGAACAAGUCGACCAAAUGCGUCGACUAUCCAGCGAAACAUCAAGUGAUGCGUAAUUUCCUCACCCUGCAUUACGGUUGCUACGAACAUUCAACGCGAACAUAGCAAAUUGCCAAAAAAUUGUUACUUCUCAUUUCAAUAAAAAUAACUCGAAAAAUAUGAUCUCGUUACCAAGACUACGUCAUUAUCGAGUUGAUUAUGAUCCCCCGAUCGUGAAAUUGCCAGCCAACCCACGGAUGCUGGGAUAUAGGCGCGAAAAUCUGAAUAGCAUCUUUUUGGGUAGAAGUGCCGCGCAGAUAUCCUCAAAAAAUACUAUACCGAAAAUAGAGAUGCGCAUUUACGAUGCGCCGACCAGUACGCCAAUCUUUUGGAAAAAUUAAGCACGCAGCCAGCCCGAAAGCUCACAGGUAUUGAGGGGAUCGCAGUAGAUAACAUAAUGAAAAUUGACGAAAAUGACAUUAAAGAACUUCACGCGGUUCCGAUCGGCGUAAAAAAAAUAAAUGAAAUGGUUACAAAUGCAGAGGAAAACCCCAAACCAGAUAUAAGCCCGACGAUAACCGCGGACUAGCCAUACAAGAAUAAAAUCGUUCGCACCGGAUUAAAAUAGGCAUCUGAUUUCCGCUGGGAAGGCCAGGUGGAGGGUUCAACAGUAUGUCCACCUUUCAUCCUUAUGUCGGACACCAGCGAAAAUUAUGUGUAUCAGGUUUUCGCUGAAAAGCACACUACGCACAUCAUGGAGCUGAAGAUGUGAAAGGAGACUGGGUGCUUUUGAUUUUGCGAAGCUGGAUUGAACUGCAUCAAUCAGAAAAACAAUUCUCCCACCAGAUCCUGACAAGAUCGAAAUAACUCAGCAAAAUUCUCAACUUUGUCGAGAAAAUGUUCGAGUUAGGUACUUCGAACAAAUCUCACGUCAGCCUUCAAGAACAUAUUUCACACUUACAGAAAAGGCGUGGAGCAAUUCAAGAAGAAACUCGCAUAAAUCAACAAAUAAAGUUAGCAGAAGCACUUGAAAGUCUAAAAGACUUCCAGAAAAUAAUGGGAAACCAUUGGUCAAAUUUUUCGUCCCCUGCCUAUAUCUGCUUCAUUCACUCUCACAACCAAACCCACAACAAACAUAUAUGUACUUCCAUUAAUGGAGACUGUGCAGGCACUACAAAUACAAUCCUUUCGCAGAGUCAUAUUGGAAUUGCCACGUUGAGAUGCCAAAAAAUGGAUUUAUUCGUUAAGUUUUUAAAAUGUGGUUUUAUAAGUUUGUCUUUUUCCAGUAAGUAGAGAAAUUUUAAUUAAAUAAAACCAUAUUAAAAUUUUA